rnacentral:rRNA from 1 species
CGGCUCAGUAACACGUGGACAACCUACCCUAUGGAGGGGGAUAACCCCGGGAAACUGGGGAUAAUACCCCAUAGACUAUAGAUGCUGGAAUGCUUUGUAGUUGAAAGGUCCGCCGCCAUAGGAUGGGUCUGCGGCCGAUUAGGUUGUUGUUGGGGUAACGGCCCAACAAGCCUGUAAUCGGUACGGGUUGUGGGAGCAAGAGCCCGGAGAUGGAUUCUGAGACACGAAUCCAGGCCCUACGGGGCGCAGCAGGCGCGAAAACUUUACAAUGCGGGAAACCGUGAUAAGGGAACUCCGAGUGCCCGUAAAAUCGGGCUGUCCAUCUGUUUAAAUAACAGGUGAAGAAAGGGCCGGGCAAGACCGGUGCCAGCCGCCGCGGUAAUACCGGCGGCUCGAGUGGUGGCCACUAUUACUGGGCUUAAAGCGUUCGUAGCUGGUCUGUUAAGUCUCUGGGGAAAUCUACUGGCUUAACCAAUAGGCGUCUCAGGGAUACUGGCAGACUAGGGACCGGGAGAGGUGAGAGGUACUCCAGGGGUAGGAGUGAAAUCCUGUAAUCCUUGGGGGACCACCUGUGGCGAAGGCGUCUCACCAGAACGGCUCCGACAGUGAGGGACGAA